CUGUAUAAAAUACAUAUGCCACAUUGCGUGAAAUAUAUAUAAUACGUUCACACGUAAUAUUAUAUUAACGCAUAUGACGGUUCCGUGAUAUAUAUUAUAUAUAUAUAUAUAUUGCGGUCCGUUUAAAUAUUGUCUAACGACACACGUUGAUUAUAUAUUUAUAUAUCAUACGACAAUGUUAGAGAUUAUUGUAAUAUUUGUCGAACGAUCGACGGUGUUACCGCCGAUGCGCUUUACGGCGUAAGGUUGGGACGCUUUCGACUCUUCGAGUUGACCGAGUGUGUGUGUCUGUGUGUGUGUGUAUGUAACAAUAUCACACACGCACGCGCGCGCGCAACAUAUACGAGAGGGUUGAUGGCGUGUGCAUGUUUUUUUGUAAUAAAUUAAACAAGUUCAACACCGUUCACAUGUCGCGAGACACAUGAAUAUUAUCAAUCUCUAUACAAUACAAUUGGCGUAUACACAAAGAUAUAUAAGGCUUGAAUCAUCGACAGUAGGCGGACUCGACGUCCGAAGAGCGCAUCGACGCCGUAGUCGUUAUCGAUCGUUAUUAUUGUAAAAAAUGUAACGUGUCGUAGCGGUUGCGUCGUCGUAACGCUGACGGAUAUCGCGUCUGCCUCAUUUUUUUAUCGUUGGCCUCAGAUCAGGGAGGAUCACCCGCCGAAUUUAAGCAUAUUAGUAAGCGGAGGAAAAGAAACUAACUAGGAUUUCCUUAGUAGCGGCGAGCGAACAGGAAAGAAGCCCAGCACUGAAUCCCGCCGUUGUUCAGGCGGCGGGAGAUGUGGUGUUCGGGAGGUUCCGCUUUCUCGUCGCGAUCGCUCCUGUCCAAGUUCGUCUUGAACGGGGCCGUUUUCCCGUAGAGGGUGCCAGGCCCGUAGCGACGGAGGAUCGCGGCGAGAGGGACUCUCCUUAGAGUCGGGUUGCUUGAGAGUGCAGCCCUAAGUGGGUGGUAA
rnacentral:sRNA from 1 species